UGGACAUAUUACUGUAUUCGAUUGUAUUCACGGCGUGAAACAGGGGAUUACACUGUUUUUAAACGGAAAGUGAAUCAAUUAACAUAAUAGACACCU
rfam:Nicotiana attenuata strain TT chromosome 2, whole genome shotgun sequence.